UCCGAAUCUCAUAAUCCUAAGGAAAAAGACAGUCACUGUACAACCUUAAGAAAGGCCAAAAACCAGAAACCAAACCAAAUACACCGUUCACUUUUGUUGUCACACUCUUCCAUUUCAAUUCACCAUCACACUCUCUUCACUGUCUCUCACACCCACAACAAGUUUCACUACAUAGAUUCACACAAACAAUACUUCUUCUCAGUCUCAAUUUCAUGUUUUCUUCUCUUCUUUCCCCAACUGAGUGCCGACACUCUUCUACUUCGUUAUUAUUUUUAAUCGACAAAGGCUUUAUCUUUGGGUUAAACCGGUGACCCACUAGGGAGAGAGGAGUGGAAUGCAGAAGCGCAAGUGGAUUCCGUUGGCGCUGCUGAGAAAGUUGCUCAUUUCAGCCAUAUGCUGCAUAGCGUUUGUGGCUCUCUUCUCUGUGCGCAUACACAUUGUUCCUUCCUCUAAGGAUCACAGGUUCAACGACAAGAUCUCCACGGCUCAGGAUCUGCACAGCUGGACGCGAGAGCUCGCACCGCCACAUUUGUCCAAAGCUCCAGUUUCUACUCCCAAGUUGAAUGGUACAAGAGGGUACUUAGAUUACCAGAAGUUGUGGAAGCCUCCAUCAAAUCGUGGGUUUUUGCCCUGUACAAAGCCCACUCCUAAUUACACUACUCCUGCAGAGUCGCGAGGAUAUCUUUUAGUACACACAAAUGGUGGGCUCAACCAAAUGCGUUCUGGGAUAUGUGAUAUGGUAGCAGUGGCUCGUAUAAUAAAUGCCACUCUUGUAAUUCCAGAACUUGAUAAAAGAUCAUUUUGGCAAGAUACUAGCAAUUUCUCUGAUGUUUUUGAUGAAGAGCAUUUUAUGAAUUCUCUAGCUAAUGAUGUAAAAAUCAUUAAAAAACUCCCCAACGAUCUAGUUAACGAAACCAAAGUGGUCAAACAAUUCAUAAGCUGGUCUGGCAUGGAUUACUACGAGAAUGAGAUUGCUAGCUUGUGGGAAGAAUACCAAGUUAUUCGAGCUUCCAAAUCUGAUUCACGAUUAGCAAACAACAAUCUACCUCCCGACAUUCAGAAGCUUCGAUGCCGGGCUUGUUAUGAAGCACUUCGCUUCUCUCCUCGCAUUGAACAACUGGGAAAAUUGUUGGUGGAGAGGAUGAGGUCAUUUGGUCCUUACAUUGCGCUGCACUUGCGUUACGAGAAGGAUAUGCUUGCAUUUAGUGGCUGCACCCAUGAUUUAUCUCUUGUUGAAGCUGAAGAACUACGAAUGAUCAGGGAGAACAUUUCCUAUUGGAAAAUAAAGGAGAUUGAUCCAAUAGAACAGAGGUCCAAAGGGUUUUGCCCCUUAACUCCAAAGGAAGUUGGGAUUUUUCUUACUGCUCUUGGAUACCCAUCAACAACUCCUAUAUAUAUUGCUGCUGGAGAGAUAUAUGGGGGCGAGUCCCACAUGGCUGAAUUGCGUUCCCGGUAUCCAUUGUUGAUGAGCAAGGAAAAGUUGGCAUCCAUAGAAGAGCUUGAACCUUUUUCCAAUCAUGCAUCCCAAAUGGCUGCUCUUGACUAUAUUGUAUCUAUUGAAAGUGAUGUAUUCAUACCUUCUUAUUCUGGAAACAUGGCAAAGGCUGUUGAGGGUCAUCGUCGUUUUCUUGGACGUGGAAGAACAAUAUCUCCCGACAAUUGUUGUGUCUGUCUUCUCAUUUACCUAGGAAAGUCCUCGUUCGCCUGUUUGAUAAACUAGAUCAGGGACUAAUCACGGAGGGGAAGAAACUAUCAAAUAGGAUUAUUGAUCUCCACAGAAGACGACUUGGUUCUCCCAGAAAGAGAAAAGGGCCAAUUUCUGGGACAAAGGGCAUGGAAAGGUUCCGGUCAGAAGAAACCUUUUAUGCUAAUCCCUUACCUGAUUGUUUAUGCCGGACAGAACAACCACCACCACCACCACCUCUAAACACCUCUCACAUUGUUUGAUUGAUGAAAUACUGAACUUUUUCCGUGGAAAUUCCGCUUGGUGAAAAAGGGUGGCACAUGAGUUUGAGCAUAAGAUGAAGAUCUGAUGUGCAUGUUGAAGGCAUGGUGAUGUGGUGACAGAGUGUAUAUACCGGUAUCACUGUUACACUUAUCCUUUAAUUGGGGGCUGGGAAUAAAGGAGGUGAAAAAAAGGGAAAACAAAAUCCAAAUUAGGGUUUUGAUAUAAAGAAUUAGAUUGGGAUGAGUAGUUAUAGGGUGAGACGGAGAUUUAAGAUCACUGGAUUGAUUUGUUCUGUGAAACAUUACUUCAUUAUAAAGGCCAAGGAUCUCUAUAACCUGUUAUUGUAAUUCUUCUUCACUAAUCUCACAUGAUUUCACAUUUUUUUAA